rnacentral:rRNA from 1 species
GACGAACGCUGGCGGCGUGCUUAACACAUGCAAGUCGAACGGAAAGGCCCUGCUUUUGUGGGGUGCUCGAGUGGCGAACGGGUGAGUAACACGUGAGUAACCUGCCCUUGACUUUGGGAUAACUUCAGGAAACUGGGGUUAAUAUCGGAUAGGAGCUCCCGCUGCAUGGUGGGGGUUGGAAAGUCUCGGCGGUUGGGGUUGGACUCGCGGCUUAUCAGCUUGUUGGUGGGGUAGUGGCUUACCAAGGCUUUGACGGGUAGCCGGCCUGAGAGGGUGACCGGCCACAUUGGGACUGAGAUACGGCCCAGACUCCUACGGGAGGCAGCAGUGGGGAAUAUUGCACAAUGGGCGGAAGCCUGAUGCAGCAACGCCGCGUGCGGGAUGACGGCCUUCGGGUUGUAAACCGCUUUCGCCUGUGACGAAGCGUGAGUGACGGUAAUGGGUAAAGAAGCACCGGCUAACUACGUG